AGUGUGUAGGAGCCGCGGCCGCAUGAAUGAGCCGCCGCACGAGUACUACGCGCGCCUAUAAAAGCGGCGGCGCCGGCCGGGCUGCGGGAGGCAAGCCGGCACUGGUGCGACGCGGCCCGACAGCACCUGCCGGCACCCAAAUGCAGACGCAGACACUAUGGAGAAACAUCAAGCGGAGAGCCGAGCCCCCGACCCCAUUUCCCGAGGCUGAGCAGCUCCUGCGCCAUCCUUUCAAGAAAGUGGGGAGAAGGUGCUGGCGUCUCAGGAGACGCGCCCCCUCAUUUCUCCCCUGUCCGAGAGCGGUGACUCAGCCUAGAUGGCCCCGACUGACUGAGCCAGGGCGCCCACGACAGACAGACGCACACCUCGGCCCUGCGGCUUUCUUGGGACCCCCGUCCUGCAUGCUCCACACACGCCCCUUCCCUGUCCCGUCCCUUCCCGUCCGGUCCCGUCCCGUCCCAUCGGACUGUCCCACUGAGCUCAGGACUUCCCGCCUCUGCAAGCGGAGCUGUCCUCUCAGGACCAGGCGGGGGCGGGGCUUCGAUCAGGCCGCCCCGCCCUACCCCCACCGCUCCCCACCGCCGGAAAUGCCUCCCCGCUGGGACAUCUUUGACGUCACAGGACUCUGACGUCACGGUCGCGUGUCUGUCCGCGCGCGCUUGGGAGGAGGUGGGGGGGCCUGAGAAGCAGCAGCACUCUCAACUGCGGGCGACGGGAUAUCCCCGCCCGGGCAGCGCGCCGGCACCUUGGCUCUAGACUGCUUACUGCCCGGGCCGCCUUCAGUAACAGUCUCCAGUCACGGCCACCGACGCCUGGCCCCGCCCCAGGACCGCCGACCCCCGGCCCCUCCACGCCUCCCUGCGCCGCUGUCCGCGGUGCUGAUGCAGUGCAAGCGCCUCCCUCGGGCACGCCUGUUCAAGGUCCCUGUGGGUUGCGGUGGGCGCAGGCCCCGCAGACACUCGCGCCACCCCCGCCGCCCGCGGUGCUGACGUCAGCCUGCAAGCCCCGCCCCCGCGUCUCCAGGGCAACCGUGGCUUUCGAUUGUUACUGUGGGAACCGGAGAUAACAGUCUACAGCCAUGGUCGCCCCGCAGCACGCCCACGCUCCCCACCACUCCCGAGUUCUGCCAGCCUGGGUUUGGGCAGAUACAGAGCAAGAGGAGGCGGGGCGGCGACGCAACAUUCGAUGUGUCUGCGGAGGUGGCAAGAGGUGUGCUCAGAAAGGCGGCCUUUCAGGCUGCUGUGCAUCUACCUCGGUGCAGAAGCAAGAUCCGGGGAGUGUCUGAACAUCCUCCUCAGAGACUCUCCUGUCUUCCUAGUCGAGGUAUCGCUGCCUAAGGUGGCGAGAAAAUGGGUGGUUCUGCGAUAAGGAUUCUUAUCUCAUGAGUGGUGAACCGAUGGGAUCAGGAGUCCUGUGAGAAGGAAGAAGUCACUUUUGCCAGCAGAAAAGCUGAAGGGGGAGGAGAAGGAAGUUUUAUCACACCUUUCUUCCAGAAAACCCUAGGUGAGCAGGUAGAGGGGAAAGGGCAAAGAAUCCCUUUCCUGAUAGAGCCAUAACUCUGUCCCCCAACUUUCUCCUGGGCCAUCAUUAAAAGGGUCCUUAACACAGCAAGAAGCUGGCAGGCUAGUGAAAUUCACCUGGCCCCUAAUUCAUUGUCUGAAGGUAUCAGCCAGCAGUCUUCCCUCAACUGGUCUGUAAGUAAUGCAUCCCAACUUGAGAUCUUCAAACGUGCCCCCAAAAGGAGUACAACCACAGAGACUGCACGUAAAUACUCUCUGUGGCUAGGGCUGUUGAGAGACUCUGUCUGAUAGGGUAGAAAUCCUGAGUGUAAUCAAGAUGCAGAAAACAAAUAGCAGGGAUAAUUUAAAAAGAGGACAGCCGGACGGUGGUGGCGCACGCCUUUAUUCCCAGCACUCGGGAGGCAGAGACAGGCAGAUUUCUGAGUUCGAGGCCAGCCUGGUCUGCAAAGUGAGUUCCAGGACAGCCAGGGCUAUACAGAGAAGCCCUGUCGUCUCGAAAAAAACCAAAAAAAAAAAAAAAA
rnacentral:precursor_RNA from 1 species